UACGUAGGGGGCUAGCGUUGUCCGGAAUCAUUGGGCGUAAAGCGCGCGUAGGCGGUUACUUAAGUCGGAUGUGAAAGCCCUCGGCUUAACUGAGGAAGUGCACCCGAAACUGAGUAGCUAGAGUACGAAAGAGGGUCGCGGAAUUCCCGGUGUAGAGGUGAAAUUCGUAGAUAUCGGGAGGAACACCGGUGGCGAAGGCGGCGACCUGGGUCGAGACUGACGCUGAGGCGCGAAAGCGUGGGGAGCAAACAGG
rnacentral:rRNA from 1 species